GAUGAACGCUGGCGGCGUGCCUAAUACAUGCAAGUCGAGCGAACAGACGAGGAGCUUGCUCCUCUGACGUUAGCGGCGGACGGGUGAGUAACACGUGGAUAACCUACCUAUAAGACUGGGAUAACUUCGGGACACCGGAGCUAAUACCGGAUAAUAUAUUGAACCGCAUGGUUCAAUAGUGAAAGACGGUUUUGCUGUCACUUAUAGAUGGAUCCGCGCCGCAUUAGCUAGUUGGUAAGGUAACGGCUUACCAAGGGAACGAUGCGUAGACGACCUGAGAGGGUGAUCGGCCACACGGGAACGGAGACACGGUCCAGACGCCUAAGAGAGGCAGCAGUAGGGAAUCGUAGGCAAUGGGCGAAAGCCUGACGGAGCAACGCCGCGUGAGUGAUGAAGGUCUUCGGAUCGUAAAACUCUGUUAUUAGGGAAGAACAAAUGUGUAAGUAACUAUGCACGUCUUGACGGUACCUAAUCAGAAAGCCACGGCUAACUACGUG
rnacentral:rRNA from 1 species